GUAAAUAAGUAAGCCCUAAUUAAUACAGCGGCACUCUCAACCAGCCUUCCUUUCUUCAUCCUUCCAUUUCAUUUGGAAUCAAUCAAACCCUAAAUUGAUCGGCGAUGACGGCAGCAAGACGAGGGAGAUGUGGGAAGAGAGGUUGAAGAAGUACGAGGAAGAAAUCAAUAAGAGGAAUGACAUUGACACCUCAUCCAACCCCGGAAUAUAUUCGGUAGAAGAAUCGCGGCCUUGACAGCACGACAACAUCAAGCACAACAGAAAUGGAGACGACGACGACGCUGUCGCAGAACAUCUGCAACGGCUCGCAGAAAUCAGGCGGCGCCGAAUGAUGGAUUCCGGUCCUGCCGGAUGCUGCCCGUUUUGUUAAUUUCUUACAAGAUUCAACACAUUAUUAUCGAUAAAAUAAAGUCCCAAGUUUUGUUCCUAAAUGUAUUUACAAAAUUAAAAUAUAUUCCUAAAUAAUGAUCUGAUAUUUUUCCUA